AUGAAAAUAGUAGCUUGGAACUGCCGGGGAUUGGGGAAUGGCCCGGCAGUUCGCGGGCUUCUGGAUCUUCAGAAGUGGGAGGACACCGACAUCCUAUUCUUGUCAGAAACAAAGAUGGAUGGAAGGAGAAUGGAGAAAUUCAAGUGGAUGUUAGGAAUGAGUAAUAUGGUGGUAAGAGCUUGUGAAGGAAAAAGUGGAGGACUGGCUCUGUUUUGGAAG
rnacentral:rRNA from 1 species